UCUCCCCACCUGCAAAAUGGGAGCAAAGCUCCCCAGGGUGACAGCACCAAACACGGGUGAGGGUGUGGAGACACAGGGACUCUCCUUCAUCGCUGGUGCAAACGCAAGGUGGCACAGCCACUUUGGAAGACAGGGUGACGGUGUCUUACCAGACUAAACAUACUCUUACCAUAUGAUCCAUUGAUUAUGCUCCUUGGCAUUUACCCAAAGGAGUUGAAAACCUACGUCGACACAAACACCCACACGAGGUGUUCAUAGGGGUAAACAGCCUCGUUCGUAAUUGCCCAAACUUGGAAGCAACCAAGAUGUCCUUCAGCAGGGGAGUGGGUAGCCCUCAACAGUACAUCCAGACAACGGAAUAUCAUUCAGCACUAAGAAGAAAUGAGCUCUCAAGCCAGGAAAAGACACGGAGGAACCUGACGCACAUGUCAUGAAGUGAAGGAAGUCCGUCUGGAAAGGCCACAUACGAGAAAAUGAUUGACAGCAGCCACCUGCUGGGGCAAAGUCUGUCCCUGGCCUGGGAUGGAGACUGGACAGAGCAAGGACUCAGGAUAUAUUGGCUGCUUAUCUGCUGUACAUUGGGAUUCCGAAUAAUGCCUGCCUUGUUGCGAAGCUUAAACGAGUAGCAUCCACGAAAAGUGCUUAGGAAGGACCCCGGCACAGAGAAGGUGCUAUUUUUAACACUAACACCCUCUUUGCUCCCACCCUUCUCACGUGUGCAGGGCACCUAGGGCAUGGGGAAGGGGCUGCUUGACUUCAGGAUGCAAAGUGCAAAGCUGCCUCCCCGCAGCGGUGGAGGAAAGACGGAAAGACUGGGCUGCAGGAAUUCGUUAGCACCAAUUAACACCGUGAGGCUCCCUUCUGCUCUCACCCUGGUCUGCCUCCCUGCUGGCUUGGGGCCGAGAACCACAUGGCAGAGGAAGCAGCCAGGCCCAGGGGAUGAGGGGGAUGUUGUGGAACCAUCGGCUAAGACUGGGGGCCCCCCAGCAGGUAUUAUUCCUAGCUGGGCAGGAAGGUUCCAGAAAGCAGUGAGGCAGACACAGAGCAUCAGGCAGGCCUGGUCUUGGGGCCAUAGACAAAUGCCUCUUCCAGGCAGUGACCCUUUCUAGUGCAUCUGACAUACGGAGUGGGGGUCAUCCCUUCCCUGACACAGCGAACUUACUUGUAGCUAUGCUCUUGCAAUGAAAGAAAUAAUAAAAAUGGCUGGAAAAGAAACACA